GGGCGCAUGGCCUAAUGGUAAGGCGUCAGAUUUCGGCCCCGGGAUAGCAACUCCCCUUCUGAUCUCUGAAGAUUGCAGGUUCGAUCCCUGCUGUGCUCG